UAAAGGACAGGAAGAAAGCACAAGGGGGAGGUGAUUCAGGGUCUGAGGACAAAGAGAGCUUUCCCUCACCCUUCCUGGAGAGUGGGCCAAGGGGGAAGCUUACUUCCAAUUAUAUGUUGCUACAUGAGGCUGUACUGGUGGCGGGGAUUCAAAUAACACAGUGGUGCUUAGAAACGUGUAAGUGUCCAGACUGUUUGAGGUGGUCCAAAAGGGAGGAGAAGACUGCCCUGGCACAUUUGGGUUUUACCAUUCACAGGAGGUUCUCAAGAAUUAGCUCUCUUGCAGUAUGUGGAUGAGAUACAAGAUGGCAACACCCAACGUAUCUGAUUAAUGAGUUUCCCCUUUGCUCUGCAAUUGAGAAAACUCUGCCAAAGACUUCACCCCGGCUGGCUUUUAAGACUACAGUACCCAUGUGAAAAAGGUAUGAUGUGCAGUUAUUGGGAUUUCUAUUUUAUGUUGAAAGGAUCCUGUGAGGUUUUGGUGUUUAGAAAGACCUUGUUCACUGUGGUCCAAAAGUUAGUGUUGGGAUAAUGGUGAAUGUACAGUAAUGAUGGAGAGCUCAUGAGAGGGAUUAGGACAGCGGGUAACUGCAGAACUAAUGUGAAUUGAUAAGAAUUGACUAACUUUCAUACCAAAAACCCCGGUGGAAAAAAAAGCUUUUUUUUUUUAUGCUAAGGCAAGAGGUUUAUCUGCAGAAAGCUUCACCAUGUGCAACAGGAGUAGAUGGUCCUAAUUUUUCCACUACUAAAUGACAAAUAAUGUCUAAAUCACCAGCUAAGUGUAAUACUGAAAACAUGGUCGGCUCAUUAUAUUCACUAGAGGAAUUUAAUUCUCGUAUAUAAGAAAACUUAGUAUCUUCAGUCAUUCAGACUUUCUAUAUUCUCUAGGGUGUCUCAGUUCUGUAAAGCUUUAACUGCAUCCAACUCUCCAGCCAUCAGUGUCUCUCAGGUGUCUGCUGUUUAAAUGGUGGCACUAGCUUGUCACCGUGGGAAAUUCAACUGGACAUUUGGAGAUUUGAGAGGGAAAUCCCACCAUGCCAACAAUAGUGCUCAUCUCUGGGGAAAGUAGCAUGUGACACCAUGUGACCAUGACUCAACACUUGGAGAAUAUAUUGGGUUAUAUGAUACCAUCACUUAUUCAUCUCUGGCUGAGAACAAAGAAAAUUGGAUAAAUCAAUGCACUUUUAUUUUAAAGUCUUAUAGCAAAAUUAAACAUGAUUUUUCUGAAAGACUUCAGACCUUCAGUGUGCAGUAAUUUAAGCUUUGGGCUUGGAUUUUACAGACUGGAGGAAACAUUCAUGAUCUUAAACAAAGUCUGUU
rnacentral:lncRNA from 1 species